rnacentral:rRNA from 1 species
AGUACUGCUAUUGGGGUUCGACUAAGCCAUGCGAGUCUAUGGACUUCGGUCCAUGGCGGACGGCUCAGUAACACGUGGCUAACCUACCCUCGGGUGGGGGAUAACCUCGGGAAACUGAGGAUAAUACCCCAUAAGAGAAGAGGUCUGGAAUGAUCCUUCUCUGAAAACAUAUGUGCCCGAGGAUGGGGCUGCGUCUGAUUAGGUAGUUGGUGGGGUAACGGCCCACCAAGCCUACGAUCAGUACGGGCCUUGAGAGAGGCAGCCCGGAGAUGGGGACUGAGACACGGCCCCAGGCCCUACGGGGCGCAGCAGGCGCGAAACCUCCGCAAUGCACGAAAGUGCGACGGGGGGACCCCAAGUGCUUACGCACUGCGUAGGCUUUUCUAAAGUGUAAAAAGCUUUAGGAAUAAGGGCUGGGCAAGUCCGGUGCCAGCAGCCGCGGUAACACCGGCGGCCCGAGUGGUGACCACUUUUAUUGGGCCUAAAGCGUCCGUAGCCGGUCCAGUAAGUCCCUGUUUAAAUCCUACGGCUUAACCGUAGGGCUGGCAGGGAUACUGCUGGACUUGGGACCGGGAGAGGGCGAGGGUACUUCAGGGGUAGCGGUGAAAUGUGUUGAUCCCUGGAGGACCACCUAUGGCGAAGGCACUCGCCUGGAACGGGUCCGACGGUGAGGGACGAAAGCCAGGGGCGCGAACCGGAUUAGAUACCCGGGUAGUCCUGGCCGUAAACUCUGCGGACUAGGUGUUAGGUAGGCCCCGUGCCUAUCUAGUGCCGAGGGGAAGCCGNUNAGUCCGCCGCCUGGGGAGUACGGUCGCAAGACUGAAACUUAAGGAAUUG